AGAACGAACGCUGGCGGCAGGCUUAACACAUGCAAGUCGAACGCGUGUAGCAAUACACGAGCGGCGAACGGGUGAGUAACACGUGAGCAAUCUGCCCUCCACAUCGGGAUAACCCCCGGAAACGGGAGCUAAUACCGGAUACGACCACUUCAGGCA
rnacentral:rRNA from 1 species